rnacentral:rRNA from 1 species
CGGAGGAAAAGAAACCAACAGGGAUUGCCUUAGUAACGGCGAGUGAAGCGGCAAAAGCUCAAAUUUGAAAUCUGGCGCCUUCGGUGUCCGAGUUGUAAUUUGAAGAAGGUAACUUUGGAGUUGGCUCUUGUCUAUGUUCCUUGGAACAGGACGUCACAGAGGGUGAGAAUCCCGUGCGAUGAGAUGCCCAAUUCUAUGUAAAGUGCUUUCGAAGAGUCGAGUUGUUUGGGAAUGCAGCUCUAAGUGGGUGGUAAAUUCCAUCUAAAGCUAAAUAUUGGCGAGAGACCGAUAGCGAACAAGUACAGUGAUGGAAAGAUGAAAAGAACUUUGAAAAGAGAGUGAAAAAGUACGUGAAAUUGUUGAAAGGGAAGGGCUUGAGAUCAGACUUGGUAUUUUGCGAUCCUUUCCUUCUUGGUUGGGUUCUCCGCAGCUUACUGGGCCAGCAUCGGUUUGGAUGGUAGGAUAAUGAUUAAGGAAUGUGGCUCUACUUCGGUGGAGUGUUAUAGCCUUGGUUGAUACUGCCUGUCUAGACCGAGGACUGCGUCUUUGACUAGGAUGCUGGCAUAAUGAUCUUAAGCCACCCGUCUUG